GACCCCACCUGGUAGGGGAGAAACAAUGAUCAUGAAGGUUGUGCUCCCAGGAUGAGGCGAUGCCAUUGCAUUCAGGGUGUGUGACGCCUACAAUGUACCCAAAUGCGGGAUACUCGACUGCAAAAUUUAUGGUAGUGGGGGGUUGCGUUUGUGCUCUCCCCUG